rnacentral:rRNA from 1 species
CGAGAAAGCCCGCAAGGGUGAGUAAAGCGGCGCACGGGUGCGUAACACGUGGGUAAUCUGCCCUAGAGUCCGGAAUAACUCGCCGAAAGGCGUGCUAAUGCCGGAUGAGACCACGGGAGCCUCGGCUCCUGCGGGAAAAGGUGGCCUCUGUAUACAAGCUAUCACUUCAGGAUGAGCCCGCGGCCCAUCAGCUAGUUGGCGGGGUAACGGCCCACCAAGGCUACGACGGGUAGCUGGUCUGAGAGGACGAUCAGCCACACUGGAACUGAGACACGGUCCAGACUCCUACGGGAGGCAGCAGUGGGGAAUCUUGCGCAAUGGGCGAAAGCCUGACGCAGCAGCGCCGCGUGUGUGAUGAAGGUCUUCGGAUCGUAAAGCACUGUCGCGAGGGACG